GGGCGUGCCCAAGAUCCCGGAGAAAGCGCCCAGACACUCCAGGCCUGCGGUCAAAACACACCCUGGGCGCAGAGAGGGCGGGGACCUCGGCGCCUCGCGGACCUGGCAGCGCACAGGUGCCUGCCUGGGUCCCGCUGGUCGGCUCAGAGACCCGGGCCCAGAGGAGAGUGCUCACGUCUCCUCCCGAGGCUCAACGUCCGGCCAGGGCACGCGGAGCCGGAGAAAAGUCGGCGCGAGCAGAGGGCGUGUGGCGAACAGAGCCGAGGGGGUGGAGAGGAUGGAACGGUCGCUCGCGCCACCGCGGCCACCUCAGACACGGCCGUCGCCGGCUCCUCUCAGCCACGGAAGUUGCGGGCCCUCCCAUCACACCCGCCUCCCGCCUCUUCACUCCGCCCUCCAGAGAGAGUGACAGCUGACGCUGGCCAAUCAGAGGCCUGGUCGGGGCCGAGCGCCGACAGAAUAAGGGAGGGAGGGGUAGAGAGAGAAACCAGGGAGGCUAGGACAGCGGCGGGACUUCCUGUGACUGACAGCAUGGCGCGGCCAAUGGGCAGCGAGGAGAUGACCUCAUCGCCGAGAGAGUCUGGAAGUGGCAGAGCUGCGGCAAGGAGGUGGGAGGAGAUGGACGACCAGUCGGAGGCGGGGCGCUGGAGCCUUAAAGCGGCCGCAGUUCAUUGGUCACCCUGUCAAGACAAGGGCGGUGGACCCGGCUGGACCUCGCCAAGUUGUCAAGGGUCAAGGCCCAGCCGCGAGUUCAGACUGCACUGAUCCUCCCGAGCCCAUCCCGAUCCUUCUGGGGGCAGAAGGGCACUCGCCUGGGGCUCUUAAGUCGGUUAUUUCAUUUUCACGCUUCCGAAAAGGAGACAAAAUAAUUCCGCACUGGCUCGGAGCCCUGAAUUCCCGUUAAGCCCCCGCCCCAGCGAGGCCUGUUGCCUCGUUUCUCUGAGUCAGUUUCCCCGACGGUAUAAGGGAGGACAUUGGCACCUACCUACCCCUCCCUGCAGUCUAGAAUGUUGAGAUCAUCAACUGUAGAAGUGCUUUUGGCUGUGAAAAGAAACAGGGCUGAACGAACCCUGAACGGCCGAACGGACACUCCCGAAAGAACAUCUUUAAAAGGGAGGACUGGAUUGGAUGACUCCCGACGACUUUGAUUUCUAAGAUUAUUAAAAUGCUGAUGUCUUACCCCUUCUGGCAUCCAUUCAUGUAGCCAACGUGUGUGUCCCCUGCGUUAGGCACAGAGCCACACAAUCCGCAAGACCUGAUUCAUGUCUUCAACAAGGAGAAAGAAUGCAAGCUAAAUAAACGGAGAGAGAAACAGAGCGAGGUCCGUUGUGGAAAGGGCCGUGGUGGAAGCAGGUCCUUUGGCUCACCCCCACCCCAGGCCCCAGCAACGGGAGGGAGAUCUGAAAACGAGAAAUAUCUCCAAACUGGUGGGGUGGAAAAGAAGGGGAAAUGCUAUCCUAAAGGCUUUCUGGGGAUGACCUUUAGAAAACCACUGGAGUAGGAGUAAUAGUAGCAUAGUAGCUAGAGGGGGAAGAGAGGAGUUCCCAGAGCAGGAGAGCAAAGGCACAAAGACUGACACUGGACAACCCACUUUAUAUUCCAGAAUAAAGUGUCACUAAGAUCUCCUGUUCUCCCUCUCUAUUCCCCCGCCGAGGGUCUCCCUGCCUUCCCAUUGAUGUAACUCUCAGAGGAAAGGCAGAAGAGGAUGCCUCUCCAACAUCUGCAGGAAUGGGAGUGGCCUUAGUAUUUCCAAUUAUUCAUCUUUAAGUCAGCCUCAAGUUCAGUACCAUGGGCUGAUGUAGAAUCUUGGAGUUAGACAGGAUCCAUGUGAUCCUUUAGUCACACAUCUUCCCCUAAGGCAAGAAUUCUUCCCCAACAGCCCUGAUAACUUUAUUUAUUCAACAAAUAUUUCAUGACACACACACCCUCCCACCAUGAGUAAGGGGUAAGAGAAAUGAGAUAUAAUCAGUGUCCUGGGGGCACUUACUCCAAACUGGGGG
rnacentral:lncRNA from 1 species